UUUUAUUAAAAUAAGUUGAGACGCUAUGAGAGUUUAAUUGUAGAGAAAAGAUGGUUUGAUGAGUAUUACAAGAUAAAAUGAGAAGUGUUUGGGUACGCUCCGGCAAACGUAAAGAAGAAAUUUAAGGGUUAAAUAUUUUUGAGACAUUGAGAGUAAAAGUAUAUACAAUAAAAAGUUAGGGUAGUCCCGGCUGGAGUCUUUUUAUGAAUCGGUGACUUUCUGGUGGGUGGGGUGGCCUGCGAUUUGAUACAGUUGGUCCCACCCAUUCAGAACAGCCAACCAAAAUGAAAGAUGAAAUGAUGUUGAUGGAUAAUGGGGGUGAAGAGCUAAGAUAAGGGAGGGGCUGGUUAUGACAUCGUCCCAGCAGCCACCCUUCUCGCCGAUUUGAUGGGGGUGAAAUGAUAUCUUAAACUAGUACAUAUAAAAUUUUGUAAGUAAAAGGAAUAUAAUUGUAAGACUUAAAAUAGUAUUAACAGUAGUAUCGUACAUUGGUAUUUUUAUGUUUUUUUUUUUUUUUUUUUUUUUUUUUUUUUGUUUUUUUUUUUUUUUUUUUUUUUUUUUUUUUUUUUUUUUUUUUUUUUUUUUUUUUUUUUUUUUAUUCUAGACCCCCACACA
rnacentral:misc_RNA from 1 species